CGGAGAGCUUAAAAGUCGCGGGGGGAGCGGACUUCCGCUGUUUUAGGGAGGGAGAGCGGCCUGGGUCCUGGGUGUUGUGUGCGGAGCUGUGGCGUCGCGUGUGAGGCGCGUGCAGGGUGAGUGUGAGUGGACGCGUGAGUGUGUGAGUGUGCGCGCUUGGAGCGUGUUAGGCGAGUGCGUGCGCCCACCCCUGCGCCCCUCCUCCCGCUUACACUUUGAUCUUAUUUGAUCGGAUCGUGACCCCAGCCCCGCCGGGCCGACCCGAAAUGAAAAGCUCUCCUCCUGCGAAGCCCCCUCGGGGCGCUGUGCAGCGAGGCCCCUUAGGCGGCGGCCACGCUGUGGUCCCCGAGGUCCCGGAGCUGGCCCUGCGGGGCCCGGCGCUCAGAAGUGAUGAAUUGAUCAGAUAGACGAGGCCGGGCUUGUCCCCGGCCACUGAUUAUCGAGGCGAUUCUGAUCUGGGCACGGCCACCGGGCUGCGGGCUGCCGGUGGCGUAGGGGCGAGCACGUGAACGGCGGCGGCGGGCGGGGAUGCUGAGCGCGGUGGCCAAGGGUAAAUGAGCCGCUGCCCCUCCCCCUGGAGCUGGAAGGUCGCGGAGGCCUUUUUGGCCGCUG
rnacentral:snoRNA from 1 species